rnacentral:lncRNA from 1 species
GGGAUGAUGGGAAGCCUGUUCUUGUUUAUCGGAAAACAUCUGAGCCCAUGAAUUGCCAGACCCUGGAUACCUGAGACACAUCCACUUGCUUCUCAGGUUUGGAGUGCAUAAUGAGGAGAAAUAAAAACAGAAAGAUCUCCAGAAAGAAGCCAUGGUAAGAUUCAAGGUUUCACAGUCCAAGCUAAUGCCUGUGGACACUUGACCAAGUGAUCUGAGAAAAUUGGAUUUCUGGCAAAACAAGUGUACCUAGACUCAGGCAAGGGUGGAGAACAGAGGGCGACUAGAUUAAAUGGAAAGAAUGCCCAGGCAUCCCAUUGCCUCCCUUUGACGUUCCAGAACUUCAUCAAGACAGUGAUGAGCUACAUGUACACCUGGAGGAGAGUUCAGGAUCAAGCUCAGAAGCGCACAGCUGCCAGCAAGCAGUCUACUACUGAACUGCACCAUCUCUCCAGCCUGUGCUUACUCUUGAAUAGCCCCAAAGUAGUCAAUGGUAUGG